UAAUACAUUAAUUGAAAAAAAAUAAAAGGGGAUUAGGGUUGUUACUCUGUGACGUUUCAGAUUACGUCUUCUUCCUCUCACCGCGAGAACGGCGCCGAAACACUCCCUCACCGAUUCUCUCCGAUCAAGUCUCUCCUCUCUCCUCUCCGAUCAACUCUCCGGCAGCCGUGAAUCAAUGAAAACAGAACAACCUCAUCUCUUCUCUCGACCUCACUCCCGAGUGACAAUGGGCGAUAUGAGCCUCUCUUCCUCGGCAUGAACGGCGAUGACGGCGACGGUGGAGUCUCAUUCUCCGUUUUGCUCUAUAUCUCAACCUCUCAUCCUUCGUCUCUCCCUUUGCCCCAAUCUCUCGUUCGUCUCCGAUUCAAUCCCUCAAUUUCUUGAACGAAAUCGAAGCCGUUAGGAAAUCCAGAGGAAAUCCUCAGAACUCAGGUCAAAGAACGUUGGUUGAAGAUAACACAUGGAAUUUGAAGUUUAUUGAUUAAUGAAGAUGACGAUUGAUGUUGAAUGGUGAACGCUACGAUUCGGUUAUCGUGAAGAUUUUCUGGAAUUGCUAUGAUUAUGGAGAUGAUGAUUGUUGUUGGUGAAUCGGUGAUGAAUCCAGAAAGAAAGAUGCAGGUGAUGUAUGAAGAUUGUUGCGUUGAGAAAGCGGUGAAGAUCUGUUUAUGGUGAUUGAAUCGGAGAGGUGAAAAGGAUGAUGAAGAAGGUGAAUUGAGGGAGAGAUUACGGUGAAGAAAAUUCAGAGGUUGUUGAAGAUGUGGUGAUGAAUUGAAGAGAUGUCGAGAAUUCGAGAUUGGGAGAAGAAGGUUGAAGAAGUGAAGAGAAAGAUGAAGGUGAGUUUGUUACGAUUCAGUUACAGAUUCUUUUGGUUUUAUGUUGAAGUGGGCAGCGGUUGAUGUGCAGGCUUGCGGUUCGGUUUAAUAUCGAACCGGUUUCUCGUUUCCGCCAUGGGGUUUGGCUUCGACAGAAGCUUAUAUUUCCUGUGAACAAAAAUCGGUGAGGCACGGCAUGAAGUUUUGGGAUUGGCAUGGAGAAGCUUGAAACAACUAGAAAUUAGGAUGGGCUUUUUUUAGUGUAAUUCAAAUUUUUUUGUAAUCAUCAAUUGGACUGUAAUUCAGAAUUGUAUGGACUUUGU